rnacentral:rRNA from 1 species
ACGCUGGCGGCGUGCCUAAUACAUGCAAGUCGAGCGAACAGACAAGGAGCUUGCUCCUUUGACGUUAGCGGCGGACGGGUGAGUAACACGUGGGUAACCUACCUAUAAGACUGGGAUAACUUCGGGAAACCGGAGCUAAUACCGGAUAAUAUUUCGAACCGCAUGGUUCGAUAGUGAAAGAUGGUUUUGCUAUCACUUAUAGAUGGACCCGCGGCGUAUUAGCUAGUUGGUAAGGUAACGGCUUACCAAGGCGACGAUACGUAGCCGACCUGAGAGGGUGAUCGGCCACACUGGAACUGAGACACGGUCCAGACUCCUACGGGAGGCAGCAGUAGGGAAUCUUCCGCAAUGGGCGAAAGCCUGACGGAGCAACGCCGCGUGAGUGAUGAAGGUCUUCGGAUCGUAAAACUCUGUUAUUAGGGAAGAACAUACGUGUAAGUAACUGUGCACGUCUUGACGGUACCUAAUCAGAAGGCCACGGCUAACUACGUGCCAGCAGCCGCGGUAAUACGUAGGUGGCAAGCGUUAUCCGGAAUUAUUGGGCGUAAAGCGCGCGUAGGCGGUUUUUUAAGUCUGAUGUGAAAGCCCACGGCUCAACCGUGGAGGGUCAUUGGAAACUGGAAAACUUGAGUGCAGAAGAGGAAAGUGGAAUUCCAUGUGUAGCGGUGAAAUGCGCAGAGAUAUGGAGGAACACCAGUGGCGAAGGCGACUUUCUGGUCUGUAACUGACGCUGAUGUGCGAAAGCGUGGGGAUCAAACAGGAUUAGAUACCCUGGUAGUCC